CGGAGUCUACGUCUUUGGAGAUGGACUGGACUGAGCUCAACGAAAUCUCAAACCUUAUCCCUUUCCUGGCCAAGAGCAGAUAUAUGAAUGCCCACCCAGUUUUCUUAUUGGUAUAGAUCCUGUAUCUCUCAGGCACCAGACCAGAGUGGAAGAGGAAUAAAAUGUCUUCCCAUCUUCAGUCUAGGUUGCUCUGUCUAAUGAACCAAAGCAUGGGUGUGUUGAGUGUCUUCAUAUGAAAAUCUCACAACUGUACAGCAAGAAAUGUAUGGGACAUUUUGUGUCUUCACCAUCAUCAUUGCCUAAGUGUAGAACAUCGUGUGUAAGUCGUGUAUGGACGUGGUUAGCCUACCCUUCCAUAGGCAUAAGAUUUGCCUAUCAGGCGAAGUGGCUCAAACUGAUCUUGGUUGGGCUUAACUAGAUGGCUCCAAGCUGCAGGUUGGAACCAGCUCUGCUCAACACAUCCCUCGACCUCAGUGGAUCAGUGAACAGACUGGCUGGACCGUGGUCUUCUCAUGGUGACGACAGAAGUGCCGAGGGUAAGCAGAACACACAAGGCCUUGUCCGGCCUCAACUU